rnacentral:rRNA from 1 species
UACGUAGGUGGCAAGCGUUGUCCGGAUUUACUGGGCGUAAAGCGAGCGCAGGCGGACCCUUAAGUAGGAAGUGAAAGGUUGGAGCUCAACUCUAACACUGCUCCCUAUACUGGGGGUCUUGAGUGCCGGAGAGGAAGACGGAACGACACGUGUAGCGGUGAAAUGCGUUGAGAUGUGUCGGAACACCAAUGGCGAAAGCAGUCUUCUGGACGGAUACUGACGCUCAGGCUCGAAAGCCAAGGUAGCAAACAGG